GGGGGAGUGGCUCAGUGGUAGAGCGUGUGCCUUGCAUGCAUGAGGCCCUGGGUUCAAUUCCUCAGC
rnacentral:tRNA from 1 species